CCUACGGGAGGCAGCAGUGAGGAAUAUUGGUCAAUGGGCGCGAGCCUGAACCAGCCAAGUAGCGUGAAGGAUGACUGCCCUACGGGUUGUAAACUUCUUGUAUAAAGGAAUAAAGUGAGGCACGUGUGCCUUUUUGUAUGUACGUUAUGAAGAAGGAUCGGCUAACUCCGUGCCAGCAGCCGCGGUAAUACGGAGGAUCCGAGCGUUAGCCGGAUUUAUUGGGUUUAAAGGGAGCGUAGCUGGGUUGUUAAGUCAGUUGGGAAAGUUUGCGGCUCAACCGUAAAAUUGCACUUGAUACUGGCAGCCUUGUGUACAGUUGCGGUAGGCGGACUUCGUGGUGUAGCGGUG
rnacentral:rRNA from 1 species